GCGCUCUUUCUCGACAACCCGGGCGCUCUCCUAUAUUCUAGACAAAACCAUAAGAUAGGGGGUGUAGCUAACGAUGGGCGGGCUAACAGAUGAAAUAGGGAUUUGAGCUAAGGACAAAUAGGCUUACUACCCCGGUUUUCAAACGAACAUUUCUUACUUGCUUUCUUUAACACUGGCAUCGGAUCCUAGCAACUGUGCCUAUGAGCCUUGGGUGAAAUCUACCACUACUCCCUUUUAGUCUUGACUCCACCAAUAAACUAGUAUACUUAUGAGAUCCCUUUGAGUCUUGACUCCACCAAUAAACUAGUAUACUUAUGAGAACGAAACUCGAAACGGGGCUUUAGCUUACUAGCUAUUAGAAUGGAACCUGGGCGUAUGAGACUGUAGCUGCUGCUUCCAAUACUUCGCUAACUGCUAGUCAGAACGGGGCUACAGCUAGUAAGGCUCUCACCACUAUUGGAAAGAAAGGCACUGGUGCUGAUGAGGCUGAUACUACGCAGAGAGGAAACUUCAUACUUUCUCUUACAAUAUUAGAGUUGAAUCACCGCUAACAAGGAGGCUAGCAAGAUUGUGAAACAGUGGUGCAAUACUGAGUUUCACUGUAUGGAAUACGAGAAUUAGCCCAAUGCAGGUUAGAGAAUAACCCCAGCGAAUCACUGAUAUCGGUCUCGAACAGCCGAGUAGAGUAUAAGAAUAUGUAUGGGUACGAUGUAGCCGCAUAUAGAGUAUAAGUAAUAAGGAUAAGAAUACAGCUACCGCCUAAAAGAGUCUAACAAAUAAGUAAGGAUACAUCGGAAAUAAAGUCAGAAUUACAGAAAUCAAUAAGAAGCAAAAGUCUAGUGUAGUACGCUCUUAUUUCUUAUACAAUAUUCUGAUAUUUCUUAUACAAUAUUCUUAUAUCUAGUGGACCAGGCGCUCUCCACACUCCCAACGGACCUUACCGAACGCACCAUACCCGAUAUGCUGUAUUUAGAGUCGAAGUCGUCCAUACCCAUCCUUGUAGAGUACCCCGGCUUCAAAUGGAACUUCCCGAACCGCCCUCAAUUAUGUAUUUUGAGAUCCAAUAUACAAGUACCACGGCGCAUCCUUUGACUAGUGAGUUUUUCUCUUAGCGAGGUCUCCUUUGAUGAGUUGUUCUGUUCUCUUAUCUUAGCGAGGUCUCCUUUGAUGCAAGGUCUAUUCUAAGAAACCCCGGUGGUUGACACAGCUUCCUUUAGGGACCCAUACUAAGCACCCCUAAUAGCUAGGACACUUAAGUCAAUAACCACUCCUGUGACUUUUCUGCUUGCCUACUUGUCGAGUUGGUUUACAGCUUCCUUAACCUUAAUGCUUGGACCACCACAAGGGAAAGCCCAGCACUGAACCCUAGACUCAAGUUGCCAUUGCUUGUUAGCGAGUAGAGUUAUACUUUCCAUUGCUUUCGAAAAGACCUUGUGCGUUAGUGAGCUCACUGUUGCUUAUUCAAUAAGACUACAUGUUUCUUGUUUGAAUUGAAUUGAGAUAGCCAUAGCAAUAGAAUCUAGUGAAAAAGAGGAGAAUUGAGGUAACCUAACUUCCAACUAGUAUAGAAUUGAGGUAACCUAACUCCAACUAGUAAAAGGGUGAACUCGCUAGUAAUAUGAGAAGGGCACGCACCCAGUAUCAUUAUGUAAUUAAGUAACCUGAGUGCUCACUCACUUAUUGCUUUUGAAGCUCCGCUGUAGCUUAUGGGAGUUUCGAAGUGCUUACGUGAAGUUUGUCGGCGAAGUGGAAAGAAAUGCUACUCUUACUCUUACAAAGAAAUGCUACUCUUAAUGAGGGGAGAAGCUAAUGCAUCCUGAGGGCGAGAGUCGAGAGCGAGAGUCAGUAGUGGAGUUUGCAGAAAUUAAGGAAUAGUGCAAACUAUUGUAAGUCUCACAGGCCCACAACACCAAUAGAACAUAAGUCGAAAGUGGAAAAGUGGACCCUGGGUGAAACUAAUAGAAGAGAAAGAUGAAGUGAAAAGCCGAGGAAAGAAGCCUUCUUCAGAUCACAACAAGCAAAGAAAAGAAAACUAAAGCAUAAGUAGAAGAGACAAGCAGAAAAGCGACUACCGAUACGAGUAUACUAGCUUUUAAGCCAUAAUCAGUAUAGUAUCUUCAAGCAAGGGCAAUAAGAGAGAGAGAAAUAGAUAGAUAUUAAUUGAUGUUUAGAGAACCAUUAGCCUUGUCCUUUGUUGAAUAAGCAGUGCACUUAGGACCUAAGCCCUUGAACGUAUGCAGCAGUAGAUUAAUUUGUAGCGGGGGUUUAGGUGGGAACUCUUCUUUCGAUGCUUUGGUGACAGAGAAGGAGGUCUUUUGCUUUAAAGCGGGUGAGACCACGUUUCGACUGUUCACUCAAUUAGAACGCUAUUGGUAGGAAAAUAUACCCUUGCUGCCUCUUUAGGAAUCAGGUGAAUCCGCUUUGGUGCUAUCAUACUCAUUUUAUAGUAAUUGAUUUAGUUAAAGGCUCUAUAACUCAAAAGAUCAUAAGAGAGAGAAGAAGAGUUAACGCAGCUAAGAGAUAGGAGAAGUCUGGCUUAAUAGAGACUUAUUGGAUAUUCUUUUAUACAUUCAGAG
rnacentral:lncRNA from 1 species